CUUCAAGUAUCAGGGAUGCGGAUGAAGGGGUAACUGAAUUUCCCUUUGCACAAGCUAAGGUGAAAUACCACCGGUCCCGCUACUGCAUCACUGUCUUCGGGGAAACUAAUUGCGUUAGAAUGGAAGAGGAACCCGGAGACGCUGCCAAAUUAGCAAAGCUCUACAAAAUAGUAUGGCAGGGUUAUCAACAAAAAUUAGGCCUACGUACCGGUCAACAUAUUAAACCAGGUAUCCGAGGCCUUGAUGAUAUACUGAGCCAAGACAUAAACACAGACGCACUAAACCUGUUAAUUAAACCCCUAAGAAGCCAAAACUUGAAGACGAGUGCAUUUCUAAGUAUCCAGCCGAGAAAAACGAACCAAGAUAUACCAAAAAUCAGCAACGAGAUCAAGCCCUUUUUUAGGGAGUUACCUAAAAAGAUGAGUCAAAAGAUUGCAUUCCAUAAAUAUAUAACUCAAAAGCCUAAUCAUGUCG